UAGGGAAUCUUCCACAAUGGACGAAAGUCUGAUGGAGCAACGCCGCGUGAGUGAUGAAGGUUUUCGGAUCGUAAAACUCUGUUGUAAGGGAAGAACAGGUGUGAGAGGUAAUGCUCAUGCUAUGACGGUACCUUACGAGAAAGCCACGGCUAACUACGUGCCAGCAGCCGCGGUAAUACGUAGGUGGCAAGCGUUGUCCGGAAUUAUUGGGCGUAAAGCGCGCGCAGGCGGCCUUUUAAGUCUGAUGUG
rnacentral:rRNA from 1 species